rnacentral:tRNA from 1 species
ACAGUGGUGGUGAAGUUGUAGAAUUCUCACCUUCCAUGUGAGAGGCCUGGGUUCAAUGCCCGGCUGAUGCA